rnacentral:rRNA from 1 species
GACGAACGCUGGCGGCGUGCUUAACACAUGCAAGUCGAACGGUGAAGGGACUGGUUUUGCUGGUCCUGGAUGAGUGGCGAACGGGUGAGUAACACGUGAGUAACCUGCCCCCUUCUUCGGGUAACCCGCAUGAAAGUGUGGCUAAUCCGGGAAAUUCUGGGUCUGUCGCAUGGUGGGCCUGGGAAAGAUUGCGCCUUUUUUGUUGUUUUUGGUGGGGGAUGGGCUCGCGGCUUAUCAGCUUGUUGGGGGGGUGAUGGCCUACCAAGGCGGUGACGGGUAGCCGGCCUGGGGGGGUGGACGGUCACACUGGGGCUGAAACACGGCCAAGCCUCCGACGGGGGGCAGCAGGGGGGAAUAUGGCACAGUGGGGGCAAGCCUGGUGCAGCGCCGCCGCGGGGGGGAUGGGGGCCUUCGGGUUGUGAACCUCUUUGGCCGAUGAAGCAGGCCGGCCUUUUUUUGGGGGGGGGUUGACGGUAGGGGGAAAAAAGGCGCCGGCUACCUCGGU